GUAGGGUGUAAGCGCUCCCAAUCCUGUCACUCGUCCGAGAUCAUAAACCUAAUUCAGUUCGUCGCCAGGAUUCCGUGACCCAGUGAAAUGUAUUUUAUGGUCCGGCGCGUAUAAAUUUAGUCGUUUUACUUCGCUUUGUUCGUUCUUGAGGUGUCUACAUUUUUUCGUGAAUACUGAUUUCCGGGUGACUUGGAGUCUGAAUUUCAGAAGGUGGUGAAUUUCCAAAUCGACUCCUACUAAUCCUUUUGGAUAAGCGCUUGAUAUGCCGUGCAGAUGAUGUCAGUGAUACUCCGGUAUCAGUGCCGGAGAGCAGCGAAGGCCGUGGUGAGUGUGGUGGCCGUGGCUGUGGUGAUUGUUGUGCUCUUCAUCAGCAACCCCAGCUCAUCCCCCGUCGACCUGCUCGGUGUCCUUCCCCCGCCUGCAUUCAACGGCCUGCACU
rnacentral:lncRNA from 1 species